rnacentral:rRNA from 1 species
GAUGAACGCUGGCGGCGUGCCUAACACAUGCAAGUCGAACGGUGAACGAGGGAGCUUGCUCCCUCCGGAUCAGUGGCGAACGGGUGAGUAACACGUGAGCAAACUGCCCUGGAAUCUGGGAGCAGCGUUGGAAACGACGUCUAAUACCGGAUACGAGGCGUGGGGGCAUCCCCAACGCCUGGAAAGAAUUUCGGUCCAGGAUGAGCUCGCGGCCUAUCAGGUAGUUGGUGAGGUAACGGCUCGCCAAGCCUACGACGGGUAGCCGGCCUGAGAGGGUGACCGGCCACACUGGGACUGAGACACGGCCCAGACUCCUACGGGAGGCAGCAGUGGGGAAUAUUGCACAAUGGGCGCAAGCCUGAUGCAGCAACGCCGCGUGAGGGACGACGGCCUUCGGGUUGUAAACCUCUUUUAGCAGGGAAGAAGCGAAAGUGACGGUACCUGCAGAAAAAGCACCGGCUAACUACGUGCCAGCAGCCGCCGUAACAC